ACCAGCAUGGUGGUGCGUGCCUGUAGUCCCAGCUACUUGGGAGGCUGAGGUGGGAGGAUCACUUGAGCCCAGGAGUUCUGGGCUGUAGUGCACUAUGUUGACUGGGUGUCUGCACUAAGUUUGGCAUCAAUAUGGUGACCUCCUGGGAGCGGGGGACCAUCAGGUUGCCUAAGGAGGGGUUAACCAGCCCAAGUCAGAAACAGAGCACAUCAAAACUGUGCUGAUCAGUAGUGGGAUGGCACCUGUGAAUAGCCACUGCACUCCAGCCUGGGCAACAUAACAAGACCAAUUCUCAA
ensembl:misc_RNA Metazoa_SRP Metazoan signal recognition particle RNA